GUUAUAACAGGUGGUGAACCCAGCUAGAGUAGUGUUAUAACAGGUGGUGAACCCAGCUAGAGUAGUGUUAUAACAGGUGGUGAGCCCAGCUAGAGUAGUGUUAUAACAGGUGGUGAGCCCAGCUAGAGUAGUGUUAUAACAGGUGGUGAGCCCAGCUAGAGUAGUGUUAUAACAGGUGGUGAGCCCAGCUAGAGUAGUGUUAUAACAGGUGGUGGACCCAGCUAGAGUAGUGGGUAGUGGUUAACCCAGCUAGAGUAGUGGGUAGUGGUGAACCCAGCUAGAGUAGUGUUAUAACAGGUGGUGAACCCAGCUAGAGUAGUGUUAUAACAGGUGGUGAACCCAGCUAGAGUAGUGUUAUAACAGGUGGUGAGCCCAGCUAGAGUAGUGGGUAGUGGUGGACCCAGCUAGAGUAGUGGGUAGUGGUGAACCCAGCUAGAGU
ensembl:lncRNA